GCCGGGCACAGUGGCGUGUGCCUGUAGUCCCAGCUACUUGGGAGGCUGAGGCUAGAGGAUCGCUUGAGCCCAGGAGUUCUGGGCUGCAGUGCGCUAUGCCGAUAGGGUGUCCGCACUAAGUUCGGCAUCAAUAUGGUGACCUCCCAGGAGCGGGGGACCACCAUGUUGCCUAAGGAGGGGUGAACCAGCCCAGGUCGGAAACAGAGCAGAUCAAAACUCCCGUGCUGAUCAGUAGUGGGAUCACGCCUGUAAAUAGCCACUGCUCUCCAGCCUGGAAAACAUAGUGAGGCCCCUUCUCU
rnacentral:SRP_RNA from 1 species